rnacentral:tRNA from 1 species
GAGGGUACAGCUCAGUGGUAGAACAUGUGCUUAGCAUGCACGAGUUCCUGGGUUCAAUCCCCUGUACCUGUU